GACGGAGGGUGCUAGCGUUGUUCGGAAUCACUGGGCGUAAAGGGCGCGUAGGCGGCCGCGGUAGUCGGGUGUGAAAGCCCGGGGCUCAACCCCGGAACGGCACCCGAUACUCCGCGGCUCGAGGCCGGGAGAGGGUGGUGGAAUACCCAGUGUAGAGGUGAAAUUCGUAGAUAUUGGGUGGAACACCGGUGGCGAAAGCGGCCACCUGGCCCGGUCCUGACGCUGAGGCGCGAAAGCGUGGGGAGCAAACAGG
rnacentral:rRNA from 1 species